AGAAUCAACGCUGGCGGCGUGCCUAACACAUGCAAGUCGCACGAGAAAGGGGACUUCGGUCCCUGAGUACAGUGGCGCACGGGUGAGUAACACGUGAAUCAUCUACCUUCGAGUGGGGAAUAACUGAGAGAAUCUUAGCUAAUACCGCAUAAUACCUACGGGUCAAAGCAGCAAUGCGCUUGAAGAGGAGUUCGGCGGCAGAUUAGUUAGUUGGGCGGGGUAAUGGCCCACCAAGACGAUGAUCUGUA
rnacentral:rRNA from 1 species